GUUAGAAUGGCUGAUUAUAGGCGGUAAAUUGUAAAUUUAUUUAUGGGAUUAAUCUCUUCUAUCA
rnacentral:tRNA from 1 species